AUGGGUUUCAAUACUGAAACCCUAUAUUUACCAACCCUUUGCUACGUCGUCGUUUCCAUCAUCUCUGUCGCUUCUUAUUACUGCGAAUCAAAGAAAAAAGAAGAGAUUCGAGGAGGGGAUACAAAUAUCAGAGAGAUCGAAAGCUCGGGAGUUCACGCCCGACGAGGCUUGGAUUCUUUGGUUGAUCUUCAACCAAAGAUCGCCCGUCCACGGCGGUUUAAGUUGAUGUUUGGUGGUGGAUGGAGAAGGAAGAAGAAGUUAUAG